CCGCAGAGAGCCUGUGCUUUGCCCUCAGGGGUCGUUGGUGCUCUUUAUUUAGUUUCCUUCUCCUCCCGUGUUCCUGUUUCUCCCCCAUCUGCCUUUCCUAGGUAAUGCGAAAAUGUAUCCUCCCCCCCCUUCCUGAAAGAGAGGUUCCUUUUUGGUACAGAUUCUUCCCCUCAACCCUUUCUUCAUCUACUGCCACCCUCUAGGUUCCCUCCACCUCCCCCUCCACCUGCUUCAAAAGAAAUCUGUGGGAAGGGUAGCAGGAAGGGCUGCAGCAGAAACUGCAGAUGGAAUGACAGAGCAGAAUUCUCUGUGUGUAAAGUGGGAGGUUCACAGAGCAGUAUCUUGGUUGGGGAAUGUGCCUGUAAUUGCACGAGCUGUUCGAUGUAGCUGACUUCGAUGAAGCCUCAAAUGUGCCAGUAGUCUUUAUCUCUCCGACACCCCCCUCCCCCCAACUUUUCUUCCCAAAGAGGAGUAAAGCAAACAUACUCAGAUUCUAGCCGACUUGUCUACCCUGGUAGACAUUUAAUUGUGCUGCAAGCCCCCAGGUCCAAGUUCAGGGUACAAAUUACUUUUGCAGUCUCUGGGGUAUUGGGAGUUUUGCAAGCUGCGUUUACACACAGUGACACAAAGUGUAGCUGGAGCCAUUCUUUUCUAGGAGGAAGAUGGGGUUUAGCCCAAUCUGUUUUGGAGCUGAGGGAAAGCCAGCUCAAUGAUUUUUUUUUUUUUUUUUUUUAAUUGGCAAGAAUGAAUGAGAUUGCCUUGGGUGGGGUAUAUGCAUGGGUUUGGAUUUCACUCUGAAUCAAGCUGAUUUUGUUUGAAGCUGAGAUAUGGGAAGGGCCGAUGCUUGGAUAGGUUCUGCAUUUGUCUAGUGCCACUCCAGCUCCCAUAAGAACGUCCAUCAAAUCGCCAUUUUAGUGAUCUUUCUUAGCAAAGGCAUCUUGGUAUGAAUUAUUUCAGACACUCACCCUUCCUAUCGCAUCACUGCCCUUAGUGAAGGCAGUGGGACAUCAGGAAAGCCUGCCUUCCCCCAGAUAGUAUCAGGCCUUCCUUUAAAAUAGGGCCCCGAGGAGACAGAGCUCUGUGACCAUAUGAUGUAUGGGGUCUGAGAUUCCUAAGCCUUUACCUAGCUCACUUGAUCCAGGGCUUAGGGAAACUUGGAUGGGGUGUCAGGAAGAAAUGAAACCCUGCCAGUGCCUGUCUUACACAAAGGAACACUGACAGCAGUGCAGCUGACGAGGAAGCACGUGAAGGUGGCAGAGAGCCUCACUGCUUCUUAAAAGCAUCAUUUCUGCUUCUGUCACCCUGAGAAGGCCAAAUGGGUGGAAGUCAAUCACACACUGGUUCCUUCUCCAUAGGACAAAGGACAUCUAGCUAAUGAUGCUUCUUACUCUCACUCAGCAGGAGUUACGCUCUCUCUCAGGUGUUUUUCAAGGGUAGUGUUGAUGGAUGUCAUUGCUCACUCUCUCACUUGUGAUCAGACCACUCCUGUCUGGAGGAAGCCAGUCUGAGGGCCAGGGUUGGUUUGUGCCUAUGGAAACAAGAUUUCCUCACGUUGUGGCGCUAACUGACCCUUUAUUCAUCCAGUAAAUAUGUAUUGAACAUAUUUUAUGUGCCAGAUGCUGAGGGAAUACAGCGAUAAUAAGAAAUUUUCUCUGCCUUCCAGGAGCUCAUAAUCUACCAGAGGAGACAGAAAUGAAUAAUUCUUACAGGGAAAGGGUGAGAGGGGAACUCAUAUUUGUUGAUUGCCUACUUUACACCAAGUUUUAGUAGGCUAUUGACAUAGAUGUCAAGUAAUUCCCCUGGGUGAUCCUUUGAGGGUAGGUGGUGGUAUUCCCAUUUUUCAGGUGAAGAAAUGAAGGCUCAGAAAAGUAAGGUGACUUGCCUAGAGAGACAGCAGCCAGUAAGAGGUAAAGUCAGACUUCCAAAGACUUUCUCAGCUCUGUCCUGUACUCUCUGUCUCUGCCAACACUGCCCUGGUUCAGACCUCUGUUGACUUUUACCUGAACGAUUGCCUUAUCCUCCCUUUGGCUUCCCUUUCUCUGAUCAACCCUCCUAAAUCUAUAAACCUAAAAAUCUUGUAAA